UACAGAGGUCCCGAGCGUUGUUCGGAUUCACUGGGCGUAAAGGGCGCGUAGGCGGGUAGCUAAGUCCGCUGUCAAAGCCCGGGGCUUAACCCCGGAAGGUCGGUGGAGACUGGUUUUCUUGAAGCUGCCAGGGGGAGAUGGAAUUACCGGUGUAGCGGUGAAAUGCGUAGAUAUCGGUAGGAACACCAGUGGCGAAGGCGGUCUCCUGGAGCAGACUUGACGCUGAGGCGCGAAAGCUGGGGGAGCGAACGGG
rnacentral:rRNA from 1 species